CCCUUAGAUGUUCUGGGCUGCACGCGCGCUACACUGACACAUACAACAUGUCUUCCUUCUCCGACAGGAGUGGGUACUCAUGUGCACGUGUGUCGUGAUGGGGAUAGAUUAUUGCAAUUAUUAAUCUUCAACGAGGAAUUCCUAGUAAGUGCAAGUCAUCAGCUUGCGCUGAUUAUGUCCCUGCCCUUUGUACACACCGCCCGUCGCUCCUACCGAUUGGGUGUGCUGGUGAAAUGUUCGGAUCGGCCGUUUGUCGCGGUUUCCGCGUCAUGUGGCUGAGAAGUUCAUUAAACCCUCCCACCUAGAGGAAGGAGAAGUCGUAACA
rnacentral:rRNA from 1 species